UACGUAGGGUCCAAGCGUUGUCCGGAAUCACUGGGUGUAAAGGGUGCGUAGGCGGGCUUGUGCGUCAGAGGUUAAAUACCACGGCUCAACCGUGGAAAUGCCUUUGAUACGGCAAGUCUUGAGUGUGAGAGAGGAUGGUAGAAUUCUUGGUGUAGCGGUGAAAUGCGUAGAUAUCAAGAGGAAUACCAGUGGCGAAGGCGGCCAUCUGGCUCACUACUGACGCUGAGGCACGAAAGCGUGGGGAGCGAAC
rnacentral:rRNA from 1 species